UACGUAGGGGGCAAGCGUUAUCCGGAUUCAUUGGGCGUAAAGAGCGCGUAGGCGGCUUGUUAAGCGAGAUGUGAAAACCGGGGGCUCAACCCGCGGCCUGCAUCUCGAACUGGCAGGCUUGAGUCUGGUAGAGGAGUGUGGAAUUCCCAGUGUAGCGGUGAAAUGCGCAGAUAUUGGGAGGAACACCAGUGGCGAAGGCGGCACUCUGGGCCACGACUGACGCUGAGGCGCGAAAGCUAGGGGAGCAAACAGG
rnacentral:rRNA from 1 species